AAAGCAAUGUAGAAGACAGAUUGGAAGACUAGAAGACAGUCAGGAGGCCCCAGAGGAAGCUAAUGGUCUGAAAUAACAGGUUAAGAACAAAGAACUGUGAAUAGUUGCUCACUUCUGAAAAAUUCUAGAAGGAAUAGGUGAUCAUUGGGUUGAGGAAAAACAGAAGAUGAUAAACUUGGAAGAUAAUAAACUUAAAAAUUAUGCCUUUCUUAUAUGGUAAAAGGACUUUCUCCUGAAAUGCAAUAAACUUGAGAUGACUAGGGGAAUGAACACGCAAUGGAAGCUGGAGAUAGACAUCUGGGAGGCCUCUGUAGGGCUCUCAUUCUUCUUUCUGCCAGCAUGUGAAGAAGGACAUGUUGGCUUCCCCUUCUGCCAUGAUUAGUCCAACAGAAAACUUUUAAGUACCUGUUUAAAGCAAUUUACAAGA
rnacentral:lncRNA from 1 species